GGAAGAACAGCUCAGGCUUUGAAAGCAAUAUCCAAAUAAGCUAGCAGGUGGAAGAACUGAAAAUGGAGUUUGGGUUUGAAAACAAUAGAAAUGCUUCGAAAUGUUCACGCGUGGAUGAUGAUGAGAGCAAUGGAGUCACUGAAGAGAGAAAGAGACACUGAGAGAGUUCAGGUGCUGGGGGAAGCUGAAGAGAUUUCAUAAGGGAAAAAAAGGUUAAACUAGGGAGCUUACGCAGUGGCUCAGUGGGUAAGACCUGUUCUUGCAGAGAACUUGGGUUUCAUUCCCAGACUUUGGAGGGCCUCUCUCUGAAGGCAUCAGGCUCAUUCAUAUAUGCAGACCAUAUCUGGGGCUCAUUCAUAUAUGCAGACAAUAUAUACACAUAAAGUAAUAUAUAAUCAUAUAUAUCAGAUAUAUUAGAUAUAUCAUAUAUAUAUAAAGUAAUCAUAUCUAUCCAUCUUUAUCUACCUAUCUAUUUAUCUACCUACCUAUCUAUCCAUCUAUCUAUCUACCUAUCUAUGAAAUGUUGAACUUGAGGUUAAAGUAUUUUAUCCAGUGGGAAAUUCUGCAGGGCAGUUAGAUAAGUAUGCCCGGUAAUCUUGAGAGAGGAUCAAAUUGCACAAGAAAUUCAUUAAGGUAGAGGUGAACCCUAAUGGAUGAUUUAACCUUCCCAAAUGACACUGCUCCUUGAAGUCUCUCAAAGGCAGAAGCAAGAAAAAUACAAGAGUCAUUCAAGGUGACUGAAGACAGAGAAGAAAGGACCAAAAGGGUUGGGGGAAAAUGAGGUCAGUCUAAUGUCAGGUGUGGGGGCAGGGGUGGGGGCGAGGAGAGGUAAAAGUAGAAAUCACGCAUCCAUUUCAAGAAAGGAAAUGCCAUCCGCGGUAUCAAAUGAUGCUGUGAGGUUCGAGGUUCAGGAGAAAGCAGUACACUGCCCGAGAUAACUGGAGAGCCGACGGAAGAAAAGCAAAAUGUUCAAGGGAGAUUUGUUUGGCAAAGCUGAGCAAGAAAUAAGAUGGGGAUUUGGGGGCAGAACAGGAGUAAAAAAAUGCUUUUCCGAAAGAAGCCUGAGUUUGAGUUAAGGCUUGGGGAGGUAUAGGGGAGGUCCUGGCAAGCCAGAGGAAACAUACAAACGUCUGACAGUGGAAAGGCACCUCCGGACAGAGCAAACCAGAGUAUAAACACAUUUAAACAGAUACAGUGGCUACUAGCCAAUGGGAGGGUGGGGCUCCUUGGGCUAUUGUGCAGCUCAGAUGGACUUCCUCCAGGAGGUCAGAGCUGGGCCGGGAUGUAAGAAGGGAAGGAAGGAUGCGAUUGAAAGAUUAUUUCAGUACAACUAGGACAGAGGCCCUUAAACGAAAGCCGGCAGUGACGUCACACAUGCAAAUGUGCCUGGCCUUUGGAAGCUGGCCUGGGAACAGUGAGGAGGGCCCCUACUUGUGAAUGGCUAGGAGCUUAGGGACCUGCCUUCACACUACAACAGGAACUGCACCCCAGUCAGGGAUUCAUGUUAAUAAAUGGGCUAGGCUCUGCCCUGAUUCCCAAUGUUAUUCAUUGUGCAGUCGGUUUCUCCUAGUUUGGUUGGCAGGCCUAAGUCUCCAUUCUGAGAAAAUGGUCACCCUGGCUCUGUCCUUUGUUAUUACUGUGUCCUCUGCAAACACACACACCCUUUGUUGGUCCCAAAGCAGGAUUUGCAGGGCCACUGAAAGCCAAGCCAGGCAGUCACCUCGAUUCCAAUUGCCCUAAGGCCAAUUUACAAGGACAAAAGUGUUUUGUUGUUUUUAAUCUGCUAGGUCAUAAGGAGGCUUCUCAGGUGACAGAGAACGUCCCAGCAGCUGAACAGCGCCAUCUGGUGCCUGGGAGGUGUCACUUUGAAGCUUUGCUCUUAUUCGAACUAAUCUAAAAACACCAUUAAGGCUCACUACCAAUUGUAAUACCAGUUCUAAGGGAUCCGAUGCCCUUUUCUGGCCUCUGUGGACAUCAGGCAUAUGCGUGGUGCACAGACAUACUGC
rnacentral:lncRNA from 1 species